rnacentral:lncRNA from 1 species
GGUCUGAUGUAGAGUAGAGAAAUCCUAUUCUUGCAUUGGCUUGCCUUUAAGUUGACGAUGAGAAUGGAGUGACAGAUUAUGGACCUGGCCUGUAUUGUACUCAUUCACCACACUUGGGUUUUGUCUUCAGGGAAAAGAUAUCAGAGACUCAACGUUUACCCUUCAAGCCCUCUAUUGACAUGAAGUGCUGGAACAUUCCUUACAGAUGUGUCAGGCACAGGAAAUAUCCCCAAGAGGCUGAAAGGCUGCUAGACCGUUGGGACAUUAAACAAGCAUUCACAAACAGGAGCACCCUGGCACAGGAACCAGAUAAGUGCAUCCACCUUAAGCAUGGAAGGAAGCAAAGAGCUUCUCAGAGACUGACCCGCCAUGGUCAGGGGCAUGCCAGGGGCUGGUGUAUGGAAUUGAAAUGUCCAUAUGAAGAGGUUGUGGAACAAAUUGUUGAAGCAAGCAGUGAUAAGAAGCCAGGACUAGACAGUGACCUAGAAGUGCUAAUAGAAGUCAGGAAUAAAACAACUGUAAGCUGCUGUAGUCUUGUUUUAAACUACCAGAGGUCUGGAAGAUGGCACAUGUGAUGCCAUUUAAUAUCUUUUAAGGGAUUUCAAAGGCUUUUUGUGGGUUCCAGAGGAGAUCAUGGGAACUACAGGAUGAUAAAUCUGAUGUCUAUACCAGGCAAAACAAAUCAAAUGUCAUAAUGAACAGAAUUAAGAGAUCAAUGGUUUACUUGGGAGACAUGAAUUUGCUUUUCAUUUUAUAGUACUAAUAAUUUAAAGAGAUCUAACUCACAAUCUUUCACAUCAACAGCUAUGUAGACAGAGA